AGAGAGAGAGAGAGAGAGAGAGAGAGAGAGAGAGAGAGAAAGAUGGAAGGCGGCGGAGCUGACAAACGAUUACAAAUCGUCCCGGUGACAAAUCGCCGGUAUUACUACUUCGCGCACUUUUAGCGCGGCUGGCUGACUGGUUGGUUGGCUGGCUACCUAACGUCCGUUGUGUCGCCCACGUAAACCGCGAUGAAACGCGUCGACGGCGACGUGUCCGACAAUCGAGCGAGAUGAAUACGCGAACGACGUGCUCUCACCUUAUUCGCAUCAUUUUCAUAUACAAGAGGUACAACAAUAGCAUUACGUCUCUCGAUAUAAGAGACCUUACAACUUUAUUACGAUGUUAUUCCGAUGUUCUUCUAAAUUAUGAUUAACCUUUAAACCAAACUGUUGUUCAUCAUCAGCCGAAUCCUUUGGUCAUUCACAUCCGCGUUUCAUUAAAUCAUUUUAAUAGGCUCAGAAAAUUUCAAACGAAUCAGGAAAAUUUAUUGAAGUGUAAACUUCAAAUGUCCCAACCGUUGAUUGUAAUAAAAGUUUAUUCUUAAUUUUUAUUGUUUUAUAUAAGGGGAAAACACUAGAAAAAUCUCGGGUAGUUGAAGUCGCUUAAACAAAAAUGAUCCAAAGAUUUGAUUUGAGGGUUAAAUCACGUGUCAGUGUAAUCAGAAAUAAUUUCGCACCGUAAUAAAAAGAGAUUUCGAAAUCACGUAGUUUUAAACAAUUAUUAAAUUAUCUCGCAGACACUGAGGCAGCGUGAGAUCAUAAAAGUUAAAUGAGCAGCUCAAUAAAAAUAUUGAAUUAUGGAGCAUGACAAGUCAAUACCAAGAAAGUAUACUUUUAUAUUCAAUAGCGGGCUCCGCUAUCGUAUCACGACUGAGAAAUCGCUUACAAUUUCUCAGGCGCAAUUCGUCAGCGUGAAAGCGCUUUUUGUGUCGGUAGAUAGCCUGAUAGAUGUGCCGCGAUAUGCAAACGCGAAUAUUCAUGUCCGUAUAGCGCGCGAACAUUUUUCGCGAUGUCCGCUGAUGCUCGUUUCGUUACAUUGACAUGUACCACCCACGUAAUCCAUCGCUCACGAUACGUUUAACGGUACGGAUGGAUGCAUGACGCCCGUAUAUACGCGCGCACGCGUUCUCUGUAUGCAAAAUAGCAAAACUACUGAUAGCACGUGUCGCGCUACAUCUGUACGAUUAUUAUUGCUAUUUCCGUCGCACAAUUACUGCAAUUUCCAGAAAUCAUUAUCGCUGAUAAUAUCAAAACCUGCAUUAAUAAACAAUCAUACAAUCACAACUACAUAUAGACUGUCAUUAUUCAUAUGUUUUACAAUCUAUAUGUUAUUAAUAUUAUAUGUUGCGAUAUCGCGUUACAAAUAAAUUACGAUCAAGAAACGUUAACUAAUUCAUUGUACAUUGUAAUUUAUUGUACACUGAUAUCGACUAAUAAUUUUCCAAUAUUAAUUGUUAAUUUAUUGUACACUGAUAUCGACUAAUAAUUUUCCAAUGUUAAUUGUUAAACAUAUAGAUCUUUUAAAUGUACGUUCCUUGUUUGUAAAGUAACGUGAAACGAGAGAUAUCGACUUUCCUAGCGAGGUCGUGUAACCCCAGGGUAGCCAUCGUGGCGCCUAAAGGAACGUUCCGACGUCGACGAAGUCUAGGGUGAAGGCUGAGGUCGAUUACAUCAUCAGACAUAUAUCGAUGACGUCGCGAUUGUUCCUUAAAGCGAUCGUAAAACUAAUUAAAAAUAUUUUUAAAAUGUCUAUUUGUAAAUCGCUAUAUAAACGUGCUUUUUAUUUGUUAAAAAUAAUAAUUUUACAAGGAAAGAUUCACAACACACACACAAGCGCGCGCGCGCGCACAUAAUUCGCGAAUUUUGGAAAGUUCGAUAUAGAGUUUGAUGUCGUAAAUGUAACUUUCAGGUGCUAAUGAAUCAAAGAGUUAGAGUUACAAGAUUUUAAAGUUUGGAAUUGACUGCACGCAUGACAGAUAUUACAGCGAGUGGCAGAAGCUUUACAGAAUCAGUUUAGCCAUAGUGUUAGCUCUCUUGAACUUGCAGCUUUUACAAACAGUAUACAUUUAAGAGAUAAUUGUAUAUGUUUAUAUCUAAUCAUUUUAAAUAAAUCUUUUUCAAUUUAUUUUUAUUUUCUUAAAUAAAUAAAUUUAGAAAAUAUGUUUUGUCUUUUAGAAUUUAGAACACAAGAAAAAUAAAUAUUAAAGAAAAAAAAGAGCUAUAAUUAGUCAUUCUCAAGCAAUAAAGAAAAAAAAACCUUGUAACUCUUUGAUCUUUGGCCUAAAUGUUACAUAUUAUUUUUGUAAUAUUAAAUUCUUUAUUAUAUUAAACUUUCCAAAAUACGAGUCUCUCUUGUUAAAGUGAAAGAUUUUCCAAGUAUAGAUUAAACCGAUAAAGUUAAGGAAUAUAGAGUAAUCAAGAUGAAAUAAAUUCUAUUAUAUAUUUGUCAUCGAUUUCAUUAAUAUUUUGCAUCACACUGUUGUCUUAUGUAGGACAUGUCAAAAUGUUUCAUGAUGCAAUAACGUUUAUAUAAUCACUCAGUAGCGUGCGUCAUGGGACCGUUUUGUGUAAAAAGGAAAGUUUGCUGGUAAACUUUGUAAUCUCAAAUGCACGGUUCAUCUUAUCUUUCGUUCCUUGCGACAACGAAGUACGGCCGGCCCACGAGGACAAUCGUGAUUUACGUUUUGAUUUAGGUACUGGAUUAAGACAGCACGUUUGAAAGGAUUGUUUUGUCAGAUUUAUCGGAAUUUCUCCCGAAUGAGAGAAGGAAAUGGAAACAAGGAAAAAGAGAAGAGGAAAGAUCUUAGAAUAUACAUACUGAAUUUAGUGAACUCUGUUUAAUCGGUAAAAUGGAUUAUAAACAGAAUGAUUUAUAAACAGUCGGAUUUGAAACAGAGACGGUGAACGUAGCGUUAAAAAUAUCUAUAUUCAUCAAUUAUUAGUGAAAAUGAGAUCCUGAAUAAGUAUCGCAAGAGUUCAUCUUCUCUCUCUUUCUUUCUCUCUCCCUCUCUCUAUUUCAAAAAUUUCUCUUGGUCUUUUAUGACUAAAGAUUGUGGUCUCCAUUUGAUUCAUGCUCAUAUACAUCGUUCAUGAUGACUGUUUUGACAAAGAUACUCUUGGCUUGCCAUUAUUUUCAUAGAGACACAAUAAUCAAUUAAAAUUCGGAUAUAUUCUGAAUGGAUUCGAAUCUGGAUCCUUGACAUAGAGAGCAGACGCGUAACUCUUGCGCCACAAUCAUCACAUAUAAAAAUAAAAUAUAUAAAAUUAAAUUUGUUCAACGAUCUUGUCACAAAGACUGAAAAUUCUAGUUCUUAGUUAGCUCUUGGUGCAAAUAGCAUGAUAUGAAAUUCAAUAAUUCACUUUCAGCGGCAGAAACUGUCGGUCGAUAUGAAUAUUAAAUUUAUCAUCGCUUCCUAUCCAUGGCAUGCUGUACGUGUAGAAUAAGUCAAUUGGCAGCUAAUGGUUAUCGAUCUAUUUUUAUUAUAUAAUCAAUUUUUUCAUGUGCCAGAUUUAAUUCAAAUUAAUUCUCUGAUGCUUGGUAUAUUGUUACUUUUCCCGUGCUCCACAAUAUUUAUAUAUAUAUUUUUCAGAAAUUUCAGCACAAUAUAAUGAGAAAUUAAUAAAGUUUGUAAAUAAAUUGUUGAAACAAAAUUAUAGAAAACAAAACUCAGUUGCAAUAUACAAAACUCGGUAGUUCGAAGCUGCGUAAACUAGGUAUCGUGAAAAUUUUCCAGUUUCAAUUCACUGUUUCUAUUUCUUCUCUCUUUCCCUUUCUCAUACUCUCACUCUUUCCCUCUCCUCUCUCUAUACUACAUUUAAUUCAUCUGAGUUUACGGGAAACCACUCGACUGAUGUCCGGUAUUGUUCGUUCGACACUCACUUGUUAAUGAACUUUUCCCUCAGAAUUCUAAAACUAAUACAAUCGCCAAAUUGAAUUUCAUUUACGUUCAACAGUUUACUCUACUUGCAUUCUGUUUCUGCGGUGUUUUAUCGAAUAAUAAGAAAAUUAUUAACGCGAAAUUAUAUGCGGGAACUUGACGUGGGUAAUAUGGAAGGUAUUUGGUGCACGAUUGACUUUAGAAUGUAUACACAUAUGCAUGCACUGAAAAGCUUAAUUAAUCAAUAACAACCUGUUAAUUAUUUAGUGGAGAAUGUGCGCACGUAAACGAAUGAGUCGCGGUGGGAGUGAGGAAUUACGUGCGAUGAAAUCGAUUGUCACGCUUAUGACGCCAGCCGCAUAACAACGGCGUUUACCCAUUAAUCUCCAACGAAUAAGAUAUGAAAACCGGUCCUACAUCUACAUCUCUAUCGGGCGUGAUAACAGUUUCAAACAUAUCCAAUAAAUCAUUUCGAUCGUCAUUAAUAAUCCGUUACGCGUUAUCUCAGGUUACGCGAUAAGAUCUUUCAUUGGCUUUUUAUUUCUGAAGGAUAUCAUUAUUUCUCGUGAUUUUCAAUCUCUGAGGAAUAAUCGAUCGUUCACGAGUACUCUUUAAAAGAUAUCUACUGUCGAAAGAACGAUAGUAUUUAUUUUAAUAGAAUCUCCGUCGCUCUCACGAGCUUAUUUUUAUAUCAAUCGGUGAAGAUCAGUUCUCGACAAUAAAAUUGUGUUAAUCCCCCCAUUCGCGCUCUAUUUCUUUAUCUCGCCAUUUUUGCGCAAGUUAGGAGAAAUGACAUCUACAAAGGCGACAUUUUCACAAUGGGGCAGCAGAUGUUGUAUCUGGCUUAAAGCACGGCUGACACGUAAAUCGAAUUCGCUCAGGUCAUGAUAAUUUAUCGCUUCCUUUUCGCCUCGCUUCCGACGUUUCGGCGAGCGCGAUGAGAACAAGGGAAAUGUCGGAAUUUGUUUUUUGACACCUUUAAUCAGCAGCUGCAUAUCGUUUCACAGACUGAAGCGUAAGAGCAUAAAGCAUAAAAAGAUGACAUUAUCGAUUUCUUUUGUCACUUGAUUUGAUAUUUGCUCUCAAAAAAGUCGUAAAAUCAUGAAAUGUGCCAUAACAAAAAAUGUGUCGCUUAAAAUAAUAUCAUAUAAAUUGUAUAAAUUAUUUCAAUUGAAUAAUUAAAAAUGGCAAACCGUAUAUUUUUAUAUUAAUAUAAAAAUAUACGGUUUGCCAUUUUUUCUUAGCCUUAGACUAUUACGUUUUGUCCUUUAGUUGUCAUUAAAAAAAUAAAACUUUAUAAUAAACUGAAUAUAGAAAAUCCUAAUAGAUAAUAAUAGAGUUUUGUUAUCAGUAUGUGUAUUAUUUGCAAAAUCAAUGAAUUAUAUAGUAUCUACUAUAAGUAUUGUGAUAAUUCAAUGGAAAAGUUUUCUCGUUAUUUCAGAAAUAUAUAUGUACAUUGUGGAAAAUUAUUAUCCCAGUUUUCCUCAUUUCUCAUAUCUUCAUAAUGAAGCUUUAAAUAAAAGUUUUCUUUAAAAUGUUAACAGACCAAAUUAGAUUUCUUAUCAAUGCAAUUUACAAUUUUGAUAUUUGACAAGUAGCUUUUGCUCACAAGUAAAAGAUAGACUCGGUAAAUUUACACGUCGCGACGUUAGAAGACAAACUAUUUUUAGCUACCUCACCGGCAGCCGCAAUAAAAUAAAUCUGCAAGGGAAACAUGAAAUCGAAGUUUAGUGUGAAUUGUAGCAUGAAUAGCGCUAGUUAGCAGCACGAGUGCUACUUCUAUUAUAUUUACGUGAAAAUUACGGGCGCAUUGUAGAACGAUCGAUGCAUCGCUUGCAUCGUCAAUCGAGCAGAGUUAUAAAUGUUUUCUUUCUCAUUGAUCGGCGCUGCGCAAGUCACACGUGACUCUACGAACUAAUAAGCGAGUUAAAUGCCAAUUGCGAUAAAAGCGCGACGUCAAGUAGAAAAGAGGAGCCGUUGCAGCUGUGUAUUCGCGGAAAGUUAGUUAAUUAACGCCCGGCGCUUGUAUCGCCAGACGUACAUCGGAGUUUUAUGCUCUCGGCAUGGAAUAAACUGCAUCAGUACGAAUGCACAAUGUGUACAUGCAGCACUGCAUAUACAGGCGUCUAAAUGUGUAUGUAUACGAGAAAUGUGUAAAUGUGCCGCUCUUGCUUGCUGUUAUUAAUAGUGCGCAUUUGCAAUUUGCAAUAUCUAUUGUUCACAUCUAAUUAAAACUACAUGGCGCUAUAACGAGACGACAAUUUCUCUCUCUUUUAAUUACACCAGAAAUGACUCGGGUUUCGCUCUUUUCAACAUUCAUGUAGAAAUGUUUGAUUCCUUUUAAUAAUAACAGCCGAUAGUUCGAGUCAUCGGAGGUACGAGCCAGAAAUUCGCGGAGAAAUUUUCAUCAUAGAGACAUUUCAUACGCGCGCCAACAUUUUCCGCAUGGCUGCUGUAUAACGAUACAUCGAUCAAAUCUGUCCACGUUACACGAGUAAUUUUCACAAUAGGAUCCAUAUCCAUUACCUAAUUGAUAGAUUGCAAGAAGUGCGAGUGUAACAUGAUGUUACAUGUAUUUUCUCUCGGUAGGUUCUAUCACUGUUCGCCGGUUACCACUGAUAAUGACGCGCAACGCGUCGAGAGGAGCAAAUCCAAUACGUUGCCAUUAUAUUGGAGCGCACGCUAACUCCCUUUAAUGCACCGCGCUAUGGUUUGGAAAUUGGCGAAUAAUGACUUCGAUAUCGAUUACAAAAUCGCGAUAAUAUGGAUCAGCGAUUCCUAUACGUAUCUCCUAAUAAUUUCCAAAUAUCUUGAUAAAGUAAACAAGGAUUACGCACUGACAAUUUACAUCGUGCCUUUUGUGAGAAACCUCCCUUCACCGAAGGAGCCACCACGGCGUUCGCAGUUCGAGUGGCUCUCGAAAAGAGUCGCGGCGGGAUCAUAAAGCCGUUCAAGUUGUUCAAGUUGUUCUACGUCGAAUGAUAUGGAUACUUACGUGCUAAGAGCGCAGAACUGUGGAAACUCUAUGGACUCGUGGGUCCUACAUGCGCGGUUCUCACACAGCGACAACAGGGAAUGGGUGUUGGAGCAUAAAGACUAAUUGUAAGCUCGUGUACGGCACAAGUUAUUUAGGCACAAGCGUGAAAACUUACGUAAUUCGCACAAAGAACACGCGUGUUACUAUAAUAGAGUCGGUUAUCAACUCGACUCGAAAUUUCUUCACGUGUCAAAGACUUGAAAACACAAAACAAGAAAAAACAAACACGAGACACUUCAAAUGCAUAACUAAAGAUAUCUUUUGAUGCUAACGCUGAACGCUCAUUUUAAGCAACAAAAGACGUGAUCAAAAAUAAAGAUAUCAAUUCGUUAUUGUUGGUCACGUCAUCUUUUGAUGUUGAAAAUGAGUAUCGAGUGGCGGUAUGAAAAGGUACCUUCAUAGGUAAUUUCUCUAAUUAUAUUUAUAAUUUAAUUAAAUCAAGUUUAUUAAUAUCUUAUAUAGUUGGCAUUCUCGACUACGUUAUUUUAUGAAAUAUAUAUGCUUCUGUGAAAUUACUUUUCUAAUAAUUUUUGGCAAAUUGCUUGACAAUUAUGUGAAGCACAAUGCAAAUUAAUAUAUUAAAAUAUUUUGUAUUAUUGUGUGCUCUUGUGCAGCCUGAAAAUUUCGAUGCGUCAGAAAAAUUUUAAUAUAAUUUUAUUUUAUUAAAAAAUCAUUAUUAUAUUAUUAUUAAACGUUUAUCUAUAUAAACGUUUAAUAAAUUCAGAGGUCGUGUAUUAUGAUAAAAAAGCUAAAACGAUGAAUAAACGUAGAUCUAAUUUAAAUUUAAAAAAAACUGUAAAAUUGAAUACGAAAGGAAAACGUGAAACAGUGUCACCGGUACGAAACUAGAACGAAUUCCAAAAAGACGCAAAAUCAAUAUUGAGAAGCGGAAGGUGGCCGGAUCCUCUUGGAGAUUUGCAGUGCAAAUAAAAUAUGCGAGCCAAGAGACAGAAACAGAAGAAGGAAGGUGGGGGCAGGCUAAAAGGGGUAUGUACGAGGUAAAGAAAACUUGGAUGCAUGCGGCGUGCCAAAUGAUGGCGCUUAGUAUUCCGCAGGACGGUUUGACUUCGUGAGUAGCAGCGGCCGUCGUCGACUGUAACGGAAGUGCCAAGUACCUAACGAAGUGGUGUCACAAAGUAAGCGAAGGAGGAACUAAAUGACUGAGAACAGUUAAAGAAAUCGAAUGAGAUCGGCGGAGAAUAAAUGAAUUAACCUACCGUUGUAAUGACCUACAUACAUAUACAUAUAAUUCGCGUGAUAUAUUCAAAUAAAAAGUUAACGCGACAACCGCAUUGUUGUUACAAUUAAAGAUUUUUUAUUUCAACCCCCGAUAAUAUUCAUUAAAUUGUUUUAUGAACUUAUGAAUUUAUUCUGUCAUUUUCUAAAGAUAAAAUUAUUGUAAAAUUUUGACUGCAUAUGUCAAAGUUAUGCCCAUUGUUAAUUCUAAUAUAAAUCUUAUCUAUUAAAAAUUACGAUUGUUUAUAACUUAUUUAAUUUAAUCAUUUAUAUAUUAAUAAAUUCAUUUAUCAAUUAUAUGUAUAUAAAUUUAUUUUUUUAUUUUAUAAUAUUUCAAGGUAAACCGAGGAUAAGUUUAUAAUGUGUGAUUCACUUUAAAAUCUACUAAUAUUAUCAAUGAAAUAUAAAGCUCACUAUAGUAGGUGCAAAACACAAUCUUACUUCUCAACUGCCACUACUGAGUAAUGUAUUUGCAACUUCAAAACAAAUAGCGAGAAACUCAACGAGCACUCUAUUAUGUACCAACUGUACUGUGGAGUUACGUCAUCGCGACCGACUUAAUAUCAAAGUAAUAAUUUGCAAUGUAUUUUUAUGAAUAAUUCUGAUUUAAUAAAAUAUGUUUCACCAAAGACUAAUAAUUUGCAUAUUGAAUAAUCAACCUGAAGAGAUCUUUUUAUAUUUAAUUUGCUUGUAGCUUAAAAUAAUUUUAAUCUAUACACGUUUAUACUUAAUUAAGCUAUACAAAAGUUAAUGUACUACUUAGCUUUUAAUCACAAGCUAUUAGGAAAUCGAUGAUCAAUAAAUCAAAUUAAAUUAGGAUGUGUUGGCAAGUUAAAUAAUUUCUGCACUUGAAACUUCGAAAGUGUAAAACAGAAAUUAUUAUUGGUAUGUAACCCAACUACCUCCUUCAUAUUUUCUCAAAAAAGUAGUUCAAAACAAAGCGAGAAUAUCGGAGCUCGUUAGAAAUGAAAUAAUGACCCGGAGUUGAGGGAAGUUUUAGUACGGAUAAGAGGUGCAGGAUGAAUAAAGAGACAUGAAUCUAGGAAAGGGGAGUAAGAAGGGAUUAGGAACAGACCUGAGCAAAGUUCCAGGGCAUGAGUAAAGACGCGAGCAGCGCGUCCCUCUGGAGAUAUUCAGUCUUGGCUGAACUACGACGGUCGAUUCGCGGGUUUCCAAGCAACUUCCACAACGUAUCUACCUAGUUUUAGCUGCCUCUCGGCGUUGAUUGCUUGCAAAUUGCAUUUCUUUAUUGAUGCCGUGUCGCUUUCUUCCGUCAGCGCCAGGUGAUCGCGCCGGUGCCGUCUUACGAUCAAAGUCUCAACUUUACCGCGCUCGCUCGUGUGUCCAGAUGAUUUCCGCACGAGAGAAAAGAGAUCGCUCUCUCUCCCUCUCUCUCUCUUUCUCUCUCUCUCCGAUAAGAAACAUUCUCAAACUUCAAAAGAGUCCUCUCUUUGAUGCACAACUGGAGAGUAGAAGUAAGAAAGAAAGUUGCAAAAGUUUAUUUAUACUAUGUGGUAUGCGAAGAUCGUGUUUCCGAAAUACUCUUUCAGUGUAAGAAAUUAGUUCCAUUAAGAGGAUCAAAAGUUUGUUCAAGAAAAUUCUACGUCAUAAGAUAUUUUUAUAUUAUUUUUCUUUCUCUUUCCUUCCCCCUUUCUUUUUCUCUUUCUUGCUUAGCAAAUUAAUUGAGAAUUACUCUUUCACGAAUCAUGACAUUCAUUAUUUGCAAACGUGAAGCAUUACUUCGGCUACCAAAAAAGCUGGGAUAUCACACAGUUCGACAAAAUUUAUAAACUGAUCUAAUUGAAGCUGCGACUAGAUUUGUUCCUGUUUAUCCAAUAAUAUAAUUUGCGCUUUUUAUUUUCCACAAUAUUUCUUGUCGCGACAGGUAUAAAAUGCCAUAUUAGUACAAACACAUCCUUGAUUUACGAGAUAUUUUUCACUCAGACCGACCUGCAAUCUAAUUAUUGUAUUUUUGCGACAAACUUCGAAAUGGAAAUUCGAUUUCCAUUUCUCUUUUUGAACUUUGUGAAUAGUGAAUUUAAUAAUUAUAAUUUCCAUCUCUCCCAUUCCCUCCUCUGUGCUCUUUCUCUCUCUCUCUUACGGAAUGGCAUAUUCUUCGGCAAGUUGUAAUUAAACGGUGGUUGUCCGCGAACUACCGCAAUUGCAGUGACAAUCUGCGGGUAGAAACGUUUUGAAUGCAAUUAACGUCGUGCUUUAACGAAGUUUCACUACCAGUCGGGAGACCAAUUUGGCGAUAAAAAAAA